rnacentral:rRNA from 1 species
UACGGGGGGGGCAAGCGUUGUUCGGAAUUACUGGGCGUAAAGGGCUCGUAGGCGGCCAACUAAGUCAGACGUGAAAUCCCUCGGCUUAACCGGAGAACUGCGUCUGAUACUGGAUGGCUUGAGUUUGGGAGAGGGAUGCGGAAUUCCAGGUGUAGCGGUGAAAUGCUUAGAUAUGACAUAGAACACCAAUUGCGAAGGCAGCUUACUACACAGUAAUUGACACUGAGGCACGAAAGCGUGGGGAUCAAACAGG